GCGACGCCCCAACCCGCCGCUCCGCCGCGGUGGUACGCUCCAGGCCGCCAGGCCGCGAGGCCCACCGAGCGGACGCCAGUGGAUGACCCGCGGCGGGGGAGGAGGAGAUACCAUCAGCAAAAUGCCAGACGUCAAGGAGAGUGUGCCCCCGAAAUAUCCUGGCGACUCAGAGGGCAGGUCCUGUAAGCCCGAAACCUCAGGACCCCCCCAGGAAGACAAGAGCGGCUCCGAGGACCCCCCUCCCUGCCCGAGGGCAGAGGUCUUCAAAGAGUUUUUGGUUCUAGAGAAAGAAGUGACCCAAGCGUGAUUACUUGAAUCUGACAAGAUUUGAGACUGAAGAACGUAACUAGUCAUCAAACUGAGGAGCUGUCCGUGUGCAACAACUCAAGAUAAAAUUCUUGACUAUUGAAAUGCGAAAAAUUAGAUUGAGGCUUUGCGGCUGAAUUAGAUUGGUUUUUCUUGUGGCCACAUGAGGUCGCUGCUGGUUAACUGAAUGGCACCAAAAGGCAUAUUGGGGUCAUUUCCAACAGCUAUGAACCUGAGAUCUUGCUAUCACUGCUAUUACCACGCCAGAAC
rnacentral:lncRNA from 1 species